UAAAUUUACAGUUUUGUUAGUGGUAGUGAUGUGACAGGAGAAUUUUUAUUCUUUGCAAAUUUUACAAAUAAAAUGAGUAUAUAUUAGCUGCCUAUAGCUAAUAACAUUAUUUAAAAUGUUAAUUAAACUUUGUUAUUGUGAUUAGUUUUGUGUAGAGUGUAGUUUUGUAAAUGCGUUAGUAAACAGUUAGUUUUCUGUGCCAUCACGCCAUAUUUGUUUAUCAUUAUUAUAUUUCAGUAAGACAAAAUUUGGGUUGGUUUAGAAAUGAUUUAAUAUUUCGUUGUCCAUUUUAGAUUAAUUGCAAAAUGCACAUUGAUUCUGUUUAUGGAUGUUUUGUUUAAAUUUUUGUUUAAAGAAAUUUACGUUAGGCUGUUUAUGAACUUAAGCUUCACAUUCCUUAUUAACUAACUCUGUGUAGUAUACAAAAAGCACUUCACGAUGGAUAGUUUAUUCUUUCCACCCUUACCUGUACCAAUGAUAAAAAAUGAAUGUGAAGAAAUUAUAAUAGAUGAAGAGUGUUCAGAUGAUAGUGGUGGUGAAGACAAGACAGAUUCGUGGGAUAAAGAAAUCCGUAAAAAGAUAGCAAAACUAGUUGUGUACCAAAAUGAAAAAAUUUUCAAUGCAGUUGUUGAAGAAUAUUUAAGGUUGCUCAAACGACAUGCUGUUUUUAUUCAAGACAAACAAAAUUUGUUAGAUAAAAUUACAAACCAUAUUCAGAUGUUCACGUCAUUUUAUCAUGAAGGACAUGAAAAUUCGUUCCAACAAAAAUAUUUUGAUGUAAUGGAAGAAGUUUUGACGGUGUUUAGCAACGUCCAAAUGGACAUUGUUAGGCAAAUAAAAAAGAGAGGUUGCAACAAAUCUGAAUAUGUUACAACUAUAAAAGGGAUUGCACAAAAGAUGUGCUGUGUUCUGUCCUCAUCACUUUUGUAUAAUCUGAAACACAUUCUCCAUGUUCUUCUAAAAGCUACAAAACAUGAUGUGGAGCCUCCAUCAUGGAAAGAUAUUAUGAACACAGUCUACUCGCACUUUUUGAUUCAGUAUCCCCUGCAUGAUUACAGUUCAGAAUCAUUUUGUCGCAAUUUCCUUCUGUUUGAACGGUGGAAGGAGAUUACGGCGGUAGCAAAUCACAAAGAUAUGGAAAGGACGUUGUAUUAUCGUUGUCGUCAAACGCCUAAAAGUGUAAAAGCAGAUGCAGUGAUAAGUUCCAUUCUUAUGCCUUCGUCUAUGGAUUCCGUUACAGAUAUAGUUACGCAUUUAAUUAAAGGGAAAAGUGAUGCCAUUAAAUCAUACUUUGAUUAUAUUGAAAAACAGAAAAAGAAAUGUACUGCAGAUGAGCCAGUUAGCUUGAACGACUUAAGUUUCUGUGAUUUAGAUGAUGAUUUAGAAUAUAUGAGUCGUGGUUCUGACGAGUGUUCAAAACUUUUCUAUGACAUCGUCAAAGAUUAUGAAAACGCUAAAAUACAGGGUGUACCGUCAAUUGAUAUAAAUAAUCAUGGGAUGAAUGAGGACCUCGACGAAGAAGGAGAUUGUAUAGUGAUAGAUGAUGACGACGUCUCGGAAUGUAGACAGAGAGAAAGCAACUUGAUCUGCGUCAUAAGUGAUUCUGACAGUGACUGUGAGAUGGUCUAUUUAUCAAACCCAACUAAAAAGAAGAAUCAUACCAAAACCAAAUCGAUUAAAACUACUCCGUCAAUUCCACAGUUGUGGUCCAAGACGUUUCCUGAACCUAUCGGAAAUGCUAGUUCUAUUUCAGAAACAAACUCUUGUAGUGCACAGAGUGACGACCAUGAUGAUGAUAUUCAAAUUUUAGAUAGUGAAAGUGUUUCAAGUAUGGAACUGAGUAGACAGUCAGCUAAAGAAGAUACUAGUAUUUCUCUUAACAGGGCGCAAAUUCAAAAAGGCAACAGUGAUAUUCGUGAAGUUUUAAGAAAUUUAGUUGUAGUAAAAGAUCCUGAACUAACUAAUACCAAUGACGAAAUCGAAAUCGAGAAAUCUUUGUCUAGUAUUAAAGAAAUUGAUCUCAAUAGAGUUUCUACACCUGAUAAAAGCAUACAAGGUGAUUCCAAUAAUCUUACAUCAAAUUUGUCCGACUCCACCACGAUUCAUGGUAAAAACAAUGUUGAAGACGACAACUGUCAUCAUUGUAGUUGCUGCGCGAAAAAUAAACUGACGUCUUCAUCUUCCCUUCUCAUAUCUAGUAAUCAAAAUAGUGGUGAUAACAGAGAAAUUGAGAGAAACAAAAUUGUCGAAGUUUCGACAGAAAUAAGAAUAGAAGGAUUGGAGUCAAUGACCAAUGGGCAUACUUACUCCUACGGUUUGAUAACACCACCAUCUGAUCAACCAGCAGAAGGAAGUAGUUCACCAACAUGUAACAAUGUUUAUGUCGAAAUCUCUGCAACAGAUAGUCCACGUUCCGUCGUUAACAGUGAUUCUGAAGAAAUUGUUAUAGAGGAUGAUGAACCUUUUACAACUGAAGAUGCAAGUGAAAAUGAAAACGUCAAAGCAAAAUAUUCUGGCGAGAGUCCUGUAAUUAAAGAUGAUAGUUCAAAGUGUGUUUUAAAAGAAAGAGAAGAAGUUAAUUCAAAUGUUAUUAAUAAAGCAAAUCCUACAGAAAACAUUGUACGAGAAGAAUCAGGGUUAGAUAAUGAAUCUGUUGGACAAAAAACAGAAGAGGUUGGUGAAAACAUUGUUAAUGAGGAAAAUUGUGCUACAAAUGAAAAAAAUCACUCUGUUAAUGUUUUAAACGAGAGAAAUAGUACGACAGAGAAAAACGAUGUUAGUGCAAAUGACGAAAUUGAAAAUAUCGCACUAGACGUUUCUGAAGAAUCGAUCAUAUUUAAAAGAAAACCUUUACCUAAUAAUGAUCAUAACAUAGUCGACAGUUUAGAGGUGAAAGAUGAUAGUUCAAAAUAUGCUUUAAAGCCAGAAGGAGUUAAUUCAAAAAUUAUUAAUAAAGAAAAUCCUACAGAAAACAUUGUAGACAGUGUUAGUAAAGAAAAAUCUAGGUUAGUCAAUGAAUUUGUCGAACAAAGAACAAAAAUAGUUCAUGAAAACAUUGGGAAUGAGGAAAAUUCUGCUAUAGAUGAAGAAAAUCAUUCUAUUAACGUUUUACACGAGAGAAACAGCAUCACAGAGCAAGACGAUGUUAGUACAAGUGACAAAAUUGAGAAUAUUACCCCAAACAUUUCUGAAGAAUUGAUCGUAUUUAAAAGUAAAGGUCUACUUAACACUGAUGAAACUGUAGUUGACAGUCAAGAGACAAAAGAUGAUAGUUCAGAAUAUAUUUUAAGAGAGGAAGUUAAUUCAAAUGUUAUUAAUAAAAAAAAUCCUAUAGAAAACAUCGUGGACAGUGUUAGUGAAGAAACAUCAGAGUUAGCCAAUGAAUCUGUUGAACAGAAAGUAAAAGAAGUUGUUGAAAAUAUUGUUAAUGUGGAAAGUUCAGCUACAGAAAAUCAUUCUGUUAAUGUUUUAGACGAGAGAAACAGCAUUAUAGAGCAAGACGAUGUUAGUACAAGUGACAAAAUUGAAAAUAUUGCGCCAAGCAUUUCUGAAGAAUUGAUCGUAUUUAAAAGUAGACCUUUACCUAAUAAUGGUCAACGUAUAGUUGACAGUAUAGAGACAUCUGUAAUAGAUAAUAACAAACAAGCGACUAAUGCACCACCGAAUGUUGAAGAAAUAUCAGACGGAGUUGCUGAAACCAGUUUUUCCACCGUCGGUAGAACAAAUGCAGAGUUAACAAAUUUUCCUCAAUACGUGAUCAUUGACGGUCAGCAUUAUGUAGUUAAUAAUGAAAUCCAAUGUGUUGAUAAUGCAGAUUUGAAAAGUGACCAAUUUCAGAUUGCUUCAGAAGAAGUUUUAACCGAUAAGAAUUUUCGGAAUUUUGUAGCAAACGGCGUGUACUUAGAUGAAAACGGCCAAGAAUGCUUUGUUGAAAACGAGGACAAUAUUCAGACCGUUAUAAUAGACGAUGUGUAUUAUUCUUGUGAAAACGGCCUCCUCACAAUCGAAGAAGUAAGUCAUCUGAAUUCUUCAAACGCUUCAUCAGAAAAUAAUUCGGGGAAUUUAGAAAAAGAGACGACAGAAAAUGCAUAUAAUUUUACCAACCUCGAUCAUCCAAGUAGUUCUAAUAGUACUCCAAACAUUAACCCUCAAGUCACUAAGGAAUACCAUAAUACAAGUUUUAAUGAUGUUACCUCAACUACACCUUCUGGAACAAUUUCCGAAGAUAUCAGCAUUGAAGAAAAACAUAAAAGUACAGAAGAAAAUGUAAUAACUCAUCCAACUGUGAAGGAAGUAUACCGAGCAGCAGAUUCUCAAAAGUCAAAGUCUGCCAGCAAAAUUAUGUUCACUUCAACUGAAUCCAUUAAAUUGACAGAUUUCGACAAAUUUGAAAAAUCUGUUAAUGAUAAUCUGGUUCAUGAGCACAAUGAUUUGUGGGAAAGUGCAUUCUCGGGACCGGUUACAAAAUUAAAUAGCAAUUCCGGUGCUAAUUUUCCAGGCGACGGUGAAGGAAUGUACAGCUUUCAAGGUACUGUAGAGAAAAAGGAUUCUUCAAAAAGAAAUAAGUCAGAAGAUAUUUGUAGAAGUUAUUCUGUCAGUCCUACGGAAAACUCGCCAGAAUAUGAGACCAUAGAGACAAGCGAUUUUAAAAAAUACAUUCAAGAAAAAGAAAACACCGUAAACACUAAUAAAGAAAAGAAAAUCAGUAAAGAUCGUAAACAAAAUUCUCUAUUAAUUCACUUAGAUAAGUCUAAGAUACCCGAAUCGGUUUUGCGAAAAGCUAGAGAACAAAAAAUUACCCAGAAAGCUAACGAGGAGAUGCAAAGCAUGCAAAAUACUGCGAAAAGUAUAUUAAAACGUAAAAGUGUUAGUGAAUCGGCUAUUCCAAAUAAAAAGAAAGCAACGGUUAGCCCAGCUAUUCCUGAAGUUUCCUUCGAUCCUUACAAGUCUGAACCAGAAUAUAAAUUAAAAAAGAACGAGAAAGAGAAAACGGAGAGUUCUGCUGUAAAAUCUCAUAAAAUUUCAAAAAAAUCGUCAGAGACCGAGAAACAAAAGGCCAUCGAAGUCGUAUUUGGUAAAUCAAAGUAUAUAAAAUAUAACAAGGAGCACUUCUCGGAAGAAUCAAAACAAAAACUGGACGAAGAGCAUUUCAUAGGAUUGAAGAACUUAUCUUCUUAUAAGAAACAACAAAUAGCUUACAGUUGUGUUAUCAGAUACUACGGUAAAAGACAAAAAGUGUACGAUCCCCAAUUAUUUGAAAUGUUACCAGAGGUUUCCUUGCCGUUCUUCAACAAGACGGAAUUGUUGAAAAAGUGGAACAGUCAACGUAUGGAAAAGAUCGACAAAGACCGAUGGGGAAAACUCGAGAAGUAUUUGAAGAUUCAUCACAAAGAUCGCGGUAUGAAAAGAAGUUGCAUUCAAGAACGGGUCUUUUACGACAAAACGACCAACUCGUCGGAAGUUAUAGUGUAUAACGGCGGCGAAUCAUCCAGUCUGACAUCAUCACCGGGCUAUUCCGGUGCUAAAAACUAUAAUUCAGGUAGGGACAAUACUAGUCUGACAAAAGAUAGUACUAAUUUAACUUCGAAUAAUAGUUAUAAUAAUAAUUAUACCAAUUACGACGUAAACUUUCCCAUUGCUUACAAUCCUCAAGAUGCAUAUUCCAACAACUCAAUGUUACAGUCAUGUUUUUAUCAAUCAGACAUUUCAGAAAUAUGUGACACUUUGAAAAAUUCCGAAUUUUUUCCUUCUGAUCCGUACGUUCCUGAUGCUUGCGCUUCCCAGUUAUCUGAUAAUAAAAACAAUUCUAUCAUAUCUGAAAUAAAUGAUCAAAAUCCUGACUUAAACAUUUCCGAAGAAGACAUGGUGUCAAGUUUGAUUCCCCAGCUUGACGACAUAUACCUACAAGAUAGUGAUCUGUAUAACUCAUUGUUUCUUGCCCAAAAUCAAAAUUUAAACGCUUCAGUCUGUACUUCAUCAGAUAUCAAGCAACAUCUAUCUCAAUGUGUUGUCGAAAAUUCUACAACAGAUUCCUCUCAUUCUACUAUUCUUCCGGAAACGUUCCCCGAUGUUCCUAAAGUCAAUGCAACGUUACUUCAAGGAGACGGUGUUUAUACCUCUUUCAAUGAUUCUUGUACUACACCUAAUCCUUCUAAACUUCAAAAUUCUGUGUCAUCCACACAAAAAUCUAAUAAUUUUUAUUUAGAAAACUCUUCAUAUGGAAAAGUUAUUCCUCAUAUAAAAUCAAAUGAAACCGUUCAGUUUUCCACUGUUGCCCCUCUAACAAAAGUUGUUGAUGUAUCUAAACCUUCUGAUCAUUGCGCUAGUCAUCAGUCAUUUUCUAAAAUCGAAAUACCUUCUUUUCAACCUGCAUUGACAAAUGCCGGCGAAACAUGUACAAUGAGAUCACGUUUCAACACAUCUUUGCCUGUUAAUCCUGCUAAAAACCCGUCAAAACUUAGUAGCAAAUCUGACGUUAAAAACCAAAAUCUGGAUUCGCCCAAUUCAAUUUCUGGACUUCCAAUAACUGAUAGAUCACUGACAGCAAAAGAUAAAAAUGAUGGUCACUACAAGGCUCGUUUUUCGCCCUCCAGUUCAAGCCACAAUCGUGUGCAUCAUUUUUCGAAUAAAAAAAAUACAUCACAUCUUAUAAAAGAUCUUUUAAAUAUUAAUUUCCUUUCAAGCAAAACUACUAAUAAAACAAACAACAAAUAUGUAACAAGUCAUAAAAACAAAGAUAAGAUCAAAAAACAAAAUUUACCUGUCGAUAAUCGAUUGCCUUUGUCCAUCCGUAAAGAAAGUCCUUUAAUAACUUCGUCCAAUUCAGUAGUCCUUCCGGAGUCAGAAUUUUCAAGUUCUCCGAAGUGUUUUCAAGAGCAAAAAGAAAUGGUAUUACGUUGCAUCAAUGAAAAAAGUUUAGAAAAUGCUGACGAAGAGAUUAAUUUAAAAAAUAACAUGACUUUAUUAUCAGAUCACUCAAAUUUUUACGACAAUCACGAUAGUAGUAUUGAUUUAUCAGUAAAAACUAGUAUGCUUUCAAGUAGUAAUAUCGAUAAUUUUAUUGCCAAACAUUUCAAUUCAGAAACUGAUGAGUUUGGAAUUAAAACUUUACCUUUGAAAAAACGACGUACAUCUGCUUAUAAUGACAAUUUACCGCAAAAGUCAACUCCUCUAAACCCUGUGAACGAUGAAAUAUCCUAUCCAGCAACUCCUAUGAUUUCUAUUGCUGAGCUUGAAACAUUGAGUGGUAGUUGUAUGAACCAAACGCAAGGCCAAAAACUAUUUAAAACGCCUGCUGAAAGGAAAGAACUACCACCACUUCCUGUAGUAUAUGGCCUAAAUUCUGCAGAACCUACACCCAUAAUUGCUGAUCAAUUUAACAUAAACAAUCAUACAUACAACAAUCCCACCAUUAACUAUCAUAUGAAUAAUGUUCCUGUACCAUUUAUAAAUGUUUCUUAUCCUCCUUAUUAUCACCCUGUAUCGUCCUUUAUUGUACCUGAUGUUAGUGGUAAUGGAGUAUCAAAUUUUAAAAUGCCAGAAAGUAUAACAGCAGUCAAGAAAGAACAUUGUCACCAGACGAAAAUGAAAUCAUCGCUCCCCUUUGUCAAAUCGUAAAUUUGUUUAUUGCAUCAUAUUUGACUGUAAUAAGCAUUUAUUUUGUGAAACGUUUCUUAAUUGUUUCUUGCUCAAACUGAACUUUUUUAAUCAGUAUUGUAUUCGGAUGAACUGAAUUUUCUUGUCAUACAAUGUAAGUUUGAUUGUGAUUAAAAGUUAGACAUUGUUGAUUAUUAUCAGUUACCUUUUAUUUCACUGAAUGUAUUUAGAUCUAAUUAAACUUAAUCAUCCUCCAUCAUCAAGAUGCCAACAGUGAAAAAACCUAUUUUUUUGAGAAGUCUGUGUAACAUAAAAACUAAAAUCAAGACAGAAGAUGGACAACGCAGAACCUAAGAAGAAAGAAGAAAGUGAAGUUUUCUUGCCCGUUCAGUUAAAAUUUAGUUAAUUUUUUUAAUUUCCAUUACCUAGAUUGACAUUAUUAAACUAGUAAUUUAUUUAUUUGUUUCAAUUAUUUUCUCUUUAACUUUUGAUUUACUUUUUGUUUGGUACAAAAAUCCUAAAGCAGUAUUUAUUUCUUUAAAGGAAAACAUCAAGAACACGUACAACAAACGGACAAACGUAGAGGCAACGGCGUUAUUUUA